rnacentral:snoRNA from 1 species
GAACGAUGAACUAUUUAGAUGACGAGUCUGAAUUACCCAUGUCGAGACUCAAAUAACAAAAUCCAUUCAUGCCUAUCUGACU